rnacentral:rRNA from 1 species
CUUAAGGCCUGCCCUAUGCGGAUUGACUGUCCAUGAAGUCAUUAGUCAGGUCAUAAUCCCUGUACAACGACCUCACCAACUGAACGAGAAUUUUAAUGAAGUGGGGGGAGUAUGAGUUUCAGUUAUGGCCUGUCCGUAAUCCACCAUAACCAGGGUAUAAGCUUAUAGUAAUAGGCCAUAACCCGUACUUUGUCCAGUAUUCAACAUAAAUAUUUCCAAGGUGAUUAAUCCACCAUGUUGUGAAUGGAGUAGUCGUCACGAGGGGGGUCACCACCGGUUAUUCAUGUCGUUCUACUAGUCGAUUAGUUACUGGCAACAAAAACGUGCUCCACAGGUAAUUCAAAAUUGGUUCCAUCGUUAUUUCCUAACUAUUCCUCUAAUCCCAAGGUAUUGAUACCAGGAUGGGGUUCCCCAUCACGCUUUUUUAUGGUGUCGAUUGAAACCAGGAUAGAUACCCCAUUAUACCUUAUUGAAAUAUUAUUAAACUAGAGUAAUAAUAGGUAUAGGCUUGAAAUUCAAAGAAUUUGGCGGUACUUUAAUCUAGCUAGAGGAACCUGUUUUAUAAACGAUAUGCCACGAAAAAUCUUACUUGUUUUAAGUAGUUUGUAUACCGUCAUUAUUAGAUAAUUUUUAAAGAAAUAAUUAUUUGAAUUAAUAUAAUUAAAUAUAUUAGAUCAAGGUGCAGCUUAUAAACAAGAAAAAAUGGGUUACAAUAAAUUUAUUUAGGUGAAUUUAAGAYUAUAAAGUUUUAAUGAAGAUGGAUUUAGUUGUAUAUUYAAUYUAAUAAGUKAKSYAGAAAUUGGCUCUAAAGUGUGUACA